AUUGAACGCUGGCGGCAGGCCUAACACAUGCAAGUCGUGCGGAUGAAGGGAGCUUGCUCCUGGAUUCAGCGGCGGACGGGUGAGUAAUGCCUAGGAAUCUGCCUGGUAGUGGGGGAUAACGUCCGGAAACGGGCGCUAAUACCGCAUACGUCCUGAGGGAGAAAGUGGGGGAUCUUCGGACCUCACGCUAUCAGAUGAGCCUAGGUCGGAUUAGCUAGUUGGUGGGGUAAAGGCCUACCAAGGCGACGAUCCGUAACUGGUCUGAGAGGAUGAUCAGUCACACUGGAACUGGGACACAGUCCAGACUCCUACGGGAGGCAGCAGUGGGGAAUAUUGGACAAUGGGCGAAAGCCUGAUCCAGCCAUGCCGCGUGUGUGAAGAAGGUCUUCGGAUUGUAAAGCACUUUAAGUUGGGAGGAAGGGCAGUAAGUUAAUACCUUGCUGUUUUGACGGUACCAACAGAAUAAGCACCGGCUAACUUCGUG
rnacentral:rRNA from 1 species